GACGAACGCUGGCGGCGUGCCUAAUACAUGCAAGUAGGACGCAGUUGCGAACGGGUGAGUAACGCGUAGGUCACUGCCUAUUCGUGGGGGAUAACUAUUGGAAACGAUAGCUAAUACCCCAUACUCAUAGAUGGACCUAGGUUGUAUUAGGUAGUAGGUAGGGUAAUGGGCUCCCUAGGGGAAGAUACAUAGCCGACUUGGGAGGGUGAUCGGCCAAACUGGGAAUGAGGCACGGCCCAGGAUCCUACGGGAGGCAGCAGGAGGGAAUCUUCGGAAAUGGGGGGAAACCCGGACGAGCAACGCCGCGGGAGUGAAGAAAGGUUUCGGAUCGGAAAGCUCUGUUGUGAAGGAAGCGGUAUUUGAACAGAAAGGGACGGCUAACUACGUGCCAGCAGCCGCGGUAAUUC
rnacentral:rRNA from 1 species